CAAGGUCUGUAGCCAGAAAACACUAAGAUCUGAAUGCUUAUUUUGGGUUCCCCCAAAAACGCCUAUGUUGAAUCCUAAUGCCCUAUGUGCUGAUAUUAGGAGGCAGGAUCUUUAGGAUGUGAUCAGGUCAUGAGAAUGGAGCCAUGAUGAGUGGGAUUAGUGCCCUCAUCAAAUAGAACCCAUACAGCUCCAUACAGCUCUCACCCCUUCUGCCAUAUAAGAACACAAGGAGAGGGUGGCUUUUUAUGAACCAGACGAAAGGCCUUUGCCACAAUGACAUCAGCCUUCUGAACUGAGAGAAAUCAGUCUCUGAUGUUGAGACCCUGUCUUGGUUUUUGGCUCUAGCCCUCCAAACAGAUGAAGACAACGUACGACAGUGUGGAAGAAUAGUCAUCUUCCAGUUGUAGGCCUGGGGGUUCUGGAGCAUUGUUCAGGCACAACCAAGGCUGCACAUUUAGGACCCAGGUGAAACUGAAGUAUCGCUUGACUAAAACUGUGCCUCUGGAGAUCCCCUUAUCGUUGUGACUCCUCAACAGCAAUGUUCGUGACUUCCUGUUGCUCAUUGUUGUCUUCGUCAUGCCCCUCUCUGUCCCUGAUGAGAGAGAGUACAAGCAAGGGGAGCAGCAGGCAGAAGGAGAAGUGGAGCCCAAUGCGGGGCUGGAUCCCAGGACUCUGAGGUCAUGACCUGAGCUGAAGGCAGAAGACGGAGCCAUCCAGGUGCCCUGCAAGCCUUUCUUUGAGUUUUCUCUACUGGACUUUUAGUUGCAUGAGAACAAGAACCGCAGCUAUUUUGUUCCCCAUUUUAUCUCUGGGCCCUAAUGGAGUCCUUACCAUGUAAGGAAUAAAUGACUGUAUACUGAAUAAAAUAAUUUGUAUGAAUUUGAAACCAGAUCUGUCUGAACCCAUAGUUCAUGCUCUCCUCCUUUGUAUCACAUGACUUUCUUUCCCCUAAAAACUAACAGGUUUCUGACUUUUUAAAAAGUAAAUAGGAAAGCACCU
rnacentral:lncRNA from 1 species